rnacentral:rRNA from 1 species
GAGGAAUAUUGGGCAAUGCCCGCAAGGGUGACCCAGCAACGCCGCGUGGAGGAUGAAUGUCGUAAGAUUGUAAACUCCUGUUAGAGGGGAAGAAUAGUACCGGUUGGACCGGUAUAUGACUGUACCCUCAGAGAAAGCCCCGGCUAACUACGUGCCAGCAGCCGCGGUAAUACGUAGGGGGCAAGCGUUGUCCGGAUUUACUGGGUGUAAAGGGCGCGCAGGCGGGAUAAAAAGUCAGUGGUGAAAUCCUACAGCUUAACUGUAGAACUGCUUUUGAUACUUUUAUUCUUGAGUUCGGGAGAGAGAGACGGAAUUCCAGGUGUAGUGGUGAAAUACGUAGAUAUCUGGAAGAACACCAGUUGCGAAGGCGGUCUCUUGGUCCGACACUGACGCUGAGGCGCGAAAGCGUGGGGAGCAAACA